UACAGAGGGUGCGAGCGUUAAUCGGAAUUACUGGGCGUAAAGGGCGCGUAGGUGGUUACUUAAGUUAGAUGUGAAAUCCCUGGGCUUAACCUAGGAAUUGCGUUUAAUACUGAGUAGCUAGAGUAUGGUAGAGGUAAGUGGAAUUUCCAGUGUAGCGGUGAAAUGCGUAGAUAUUGGAAGGAACACCAGUGGCGAAGGCGACUUACUGGACCAUUACUGACACUGAGGCGCGAAAGCGUGGGGAGCGAACAGG
rnacentral:rRNA from 1 species